AGAUGCGAUCAUACCAGCACUAAUGCAUCAGAUCCCAAUAGAAACCCGCAGAUAAGCGUGAUUGGGCGAGUGUAGUACUAGGAUUGGUGACCUCCCGGGAAGUCCUCGUGUUGCAUUUU
rnacentral:rRNA from 1 species